rnacentral:misc_RNA from 1 species
CUUAGGCAUGCGCAUUACCGUAUUGUGUCUUUUUUUUCGCUUCCCGUUGACGUCAAUUUUCCAUACACUUGCAGAAAAAAAAAGUUACGCGAGCUUUUAAAAUUUGUAUUUAAUUAUUUUGAAUGCGCAAAUAUACUUAUUUUCUCUUAUAUUUAUGAACUUUAUAAGUCUUAUAUGAAAUACAAAGUUUAUCUGGUGAGUCUAAUCUGUUGAACUUCAUUGUGAGAUUUGUAUUGCAAGUUUACGAUACAAACAUGCAAGUGCAAGAAACAGAAGGAGCUGAUGGUUCACCAUGGAAUAAUUCCAGUGGUUGUGAUGAAGAACGUAGACCUACUCAAAAGGAGGGUAAAAAGUCAAAUAUAUUACCUCUUUGGGGAAAUGAAAGAACUAUGAAUUUAAAUCCAUUAAUUUUAACAAAUAUACAGUCGUCACAUUAUUUUAAAGUAAAUUUAUAUGAAUUGAAGACAUACCACGAGGUUAUUGAUGAAAUUUACUACAAAGUAUCUCAUUUGGAACCAUGGGAAAAAGGAAGCAGGAAAACAGCAGGCCAAACUGGCAUGUGUGGAGGCCGGUUCAUGCAGGUCCGAGGAGUUGGUGCUGGUGGAAUUGUUUCAACGGCUUAUUGUCUACUAUAUAAACUCUUCACCUUGAGGUUAACACGGAAACAAUUAAAUGGUCUUAUCAAUCAUCCUGAUUCACCAUAUAUUCGAGCAUUAGGAUUUAUGUAUAUUAGAUAUACACAACCACCGGCAGAUUUAUUUAAUUGGUAUAGUGAUUACUUAGAAGAUGAAGAAGAAUUAGAUGUAAAAGCUGGAGGAGGACAAGUAAUGAAAAUGGGUGAUAUUCUUAAACAAUUCCUGACAAAAUUAGAAUGGUUUUCAACAUUAUUUCCAAGAAUACCAGUGCCUAUUCAAAAAGAACUUGAACAUCGAUUAGCAGAAAGGUUUCCUCAACAAUCUAUGAAUGCUCGAAAUGCAAAACCACCUAUUAUCCUAAAUAGUCAUGGAAAAUAUAGUAAUAGUAGUAGAAAAGAUAAUGGCAAUCUUACCUCACGAAAUCAACCACGACAUAUCCCAGAUAGUGAAGCUCAAUGGGGUGAGGCUGAAAGAACAAGCCACUGGCGAGCCAGGUGCGUCUACGUGUUUAAGGAAACCAUCAGCUGCUUCAACAGUGCAGAAAUAGAGAGACGGUGAAAGUGGAAUGAUUGUUUUCUACCUCUUCAAAAGUUGUUUUUCAUUAAGCGCAUCUGAUGAAGAUCGCAAGGACAAAUACAGGGAUCGAGACCGUGAGCGAGAUCGUAUAAGAGACAGAGAACGAGAACGUGCACGAGAAAGAGAUCGAGAAAGGGAUCGACAUUGUAGACGAUCAAACAGCCGUGAUCGAAGUCGAAGACAAAGAGAUUACAGAAGUCGUAGCAGAGACAGAUCACAUAGAGA